GGCUGGUCCGCUGGUAGUGGGUUAUCAGAACUUAGUAAUGUUAGUGUCACUAAAGUUGGUAUAUGACCCCCCACCGCUAAAUUUGACUGGCUUUAA
ensembl:Y_RNA Y_RNA Y RNA